rnacentral:rRNA from 1 species
UACGAAGGGGGCGAGCGUUGUUCGGAAUCACUGGGCGUAAAGCGCACGUAGGCGGCUUUCUAAGUCAGGUGUGAAACCUCCAGGCUCAACCUGGAGACGCCACCUGAUACUGCUGUGGCUAGAGUCCGGUAGGGGAGCGUGGAAUUCCUGGUGUAGCGGUGAAAUGCGCAGAUAUCAGGAGGAACACCAGCGGCGAAGGCGGCGCUCUGGGCCGGAACUGACGCUGAGGAGCGAAAGCGUGGGUAGCAAACAGG